UCCUUUAAAAGAACGCCAUCGACGCUCCCCUGUCUUUCAGCGCCUGCAGGUUCCGGGAGGUCAGCUCCCAGCCGAGGACGUCGGAUGUCAUCGUCCUUGCUGCUUUGCCACCCCAUUCCCGUCAAUAAAGUGGUUUGAACCCAACCCUGGUGUCGGUGUGUGUCGUUGGCGACGCGCUGUCUUUGAGCCCCCGCCGAGCUUCCUCGUGGCGCCGGGGGUCAAUCUGCAGCGCUAGAGCAUGUGCUUGCGCAUAACUGGGGCCGCCUGGCCUCCCGCGGGCGGCCUUUUUAACCGCGAGCGACAAGAAGUAA
ensembl:lncRNA SNHG25 small nucleolar RNA host gene 25